AUUGAACGCUGGCGGCAGGCCUAACACAUGCAAGUCGAACGAGUGGCGGACGGGUGAGUGAUGUAUGGGCAACUGCCUGAUGGAGGGGGAUAACUACUGGAAACGGUAGCUAAUACCGCAUACCAUCAGAUGUGGCCAGAUGGGAUUAGCUAGUCGGUGGGGUAACGGCUGACCAAGGCGACGAUCCCUAGCUGGUCUGAGAGGAUGAUCAGCCACACUGGGACUGAGACACGGCCCAGACUCCUACGGGAGGCAGCAGUGGGGAAUAUUGCACAAUGGGCGCAAGCCUGAUGCAGCCAUGCCGCGUGUAUGAAGAAGGCCUUCGGGUUGUAAAGUACUGUCAGUGGGGAGGCGUUACCGAAAGAAGAAGCACCGGCUAACUCCGUGCCAGCCGCCGCGGUAAUAC
rnacentral:rRNA from 1 species